rnacentral:rRNA from 1 species
AUUGAACGCUGGCGGCAUGCCUUACACAUGCAAGUCGAACGGUAACAGGUCUUCGGAUGCUGACGAGUGGCGAACGGGUGAGUAAUACAUCGGAACGUGCCUAGUAGUGGGGGAUAACUACUCGAAAGAGUGGCUAAUACCGCAUGAGAUCUACGGAGGAAAGCAGGGGAUCGCAAGACCUUGGCCUACUAAAGCGGCCGAUGGCAGAUUAGGUAGUUGGUGGGAUAAAGCUUACCAAGCCGACGAUCUGUAGCUGGUCUGAGAGGACGAUCAGCCACACUGGGACUGAGACACGGCCCAGACUCCUACGGGAGGCAGCAGUGGGGAAUUUUGGACAAUGGGCGCAAGCCUGAUCCAGCAAUGCCGCGUGCAGGAUGAAGGCCUUCGGGUUGUAAACUGCUUUUGUACGGAACGAAAAGCCCUGGGUUAAUACCCUGGGGUCAUGACGGUACCGUAAGAAUAAGCACCGGCUAACUACGUGCCAGCCGCCGCAGUAAUAC